rnacentral:rRNA from 1 species
UGGGGAAUCUUGGACAAUGGGCGCAAGCCUGAUCCAGCCAUGCCGCGUGCAGGAUGACGGUCCUAUGGAUUGUAAACUGCUUUUGUACAGGAAGAAACAGUUCUACGUGUAGAACCUUGACGGUACUGUAAGAAUAAGGAUCGGCUAACUCCGUGCCAGCAGCCGCGGUAAUACGGAGGAUCCAAGCGUUAUCCGGAAUCAUUGGGUUUAAAGGUCCGUAGGCGGUUAGAUAAGUCAGUGGUGAAAGCCCAUCGCUCAACGGUGGAACGGCCAUUGAUACUGUCUGACUUGAAUUAUUAGGAAGUAACUAGAAUAUGUAGUGUAGCGGUGAAAUGCUUAGAGAUUACAUGGAAUACCAAUUGCGAAGGCAGGUUACUACUAAUGGAUUGACGCUGAUGGACGAAAGCGUGGGUAGCGAACAGGAUUAGAUACCCCAGUAGUCCCUGAGCGGGCUGGCAAGGCGCAU